UUUUUGUUCCCCCUCUCCUCUCUUUCCUCUCUCGGACGCAUGCUUUUUCUCCACCUGCUUCUGCCGAUCUUUUCAUUUGCCUUCCCUUGAGCCAUCCCACUUUCUUCUUCACGUGCAGACUCAUCCCCCUCAAGCUUUCACCCCCACGCCCCCCAAUUUCUCUAGUUACUCUCUUCUUCAACCCGCGAGACUACAGCUCACGAACCGAGCGUGCUUCAGCCAUGAUUCCUUUUCACGCCGCCAGCUCAUGGUCAACAAACUAGCCAUAAAAUCCACCGAAGUUGCAUUUUUGACCACCGAAUCCUCUCCAUCUCUGCUUCGGUUUGCCAACGUCUGCUGCCACCGCAUCAAUCGAAGUAGCCUCAUCACCACAUGGCCUCAACCAGUAACUUCGGCCACCUGCCGCGUGCUCCAUCAACGUACAUCUCUGCCGAAUUCACCCUCUUCGAGCAGUCCACGUUUACCUCAGCUUCACCGACUUCUCCGCCAACUUGCUUCCACUUCGUGCAGCCCAUUCCACCGCCAGCAGCCGUCCACUUCCUUCGGUCUUCACUCCAGGUUGCCACGGUGUCGAGGUCCAUCGAAGCUUUAGUCAACCUUACAUCUUCUUAGGCGGUUUGUUGACCUAGCAAAUCCACCGAGCGGCCGCUUCUGCCAUCAUCUGCCGCGCGUGCCUUCAUCCACCGAGACUGCAGCCACUUCACGGUCAACAAACCAGCAUCGAAGACCACCACAAUUGACAGCCCUCAGCUCCACGCGGCCAGCGUCCAGCUGCCCGAAGACUCCAAUUGGUCGUCAAUUGUCGAGGCCCAACGACGGCCUUCGCUGCUCCUUCCUCACUCGGGCAGCACCGAACGAAGCAGCAAUCCACAAUUUCUUCUCCGCCAGCUCACCAUCGUCACCUGCAGUUCACGCAUUUCCUUGGCCCAAUAGAAUUCAGUCUUCGGGCCCAGCAAAGCCAGCAGAUUCCAGUGUCUUCGGCCCAUCUUUUUUACAGUGUGCAACCCAGCGUCUUCAGUCUUGGGCCUGUGUCUCCAGCCCACAAAUCUAGCAAUUUUGGCCAGCAAGUCCAGCGCAUUGCAACCUAGCGUUUGGCCCAUCCUUCAGCAGUAAUUUGGCCCAUGAUUUUAACAGUUUGUACAGCUCCUUGACGUCAGCCCAGUCCAGCAUGGCCCAGCAAGUCUAGCCCAUCUUAGGCCCGUGAAGCAAGUCAGCCCAAGUUCAGCCGCCAUCACGUCGCCGUCGCAGUUUCCGAUCUUCGCAUGUACAAGUGAGUUUUACUCACUAAUGCCUUCUUAAUUUUCUAAUUAUACUUAAAGGUUGAUUAUAUUUAGUUAAGUGCAAUUAGGUGGUUAGAUUAGAGUAUAUUAGUGAUUAUUAGAUAAUUGUGAUUCAUGUCAGUCAAUUGGAUUGUGCAAUUAGCGAGUAGGCAUGCAAUACUAUUUAUUGAAUGCUACUUGGGAUUUUUCCCAACCCUUAUCCGGUGUUAAUUAGGAAAUUCGGGCCUAAGUGGAAUUUUUAGGAAUUAAAUAUUAAUUUUGGAAAUUAAUUAUUUAAUUAUUUAAUUCCCGGAAAUUCAACUGGGAUGGCCAGUGACCGAGAUUUUAUGAUGAUGAUCGUGGUGUAGUCCGUUUAUUUAAUUGGGCUUUAUAUUGUGCUAACUUGAAUUUAUUGGAUUUACUUAUUUAAUUUUCGAAAUUAAUUAUUUAAUUAUUUAAUUAUUUAUUUCCCGGAAAUUCAACUGGGAUGUUCAGUGACCGGAGUUUUGUGCUGAUUGUUGUGGCACAAUUCAUUUAUUUAAUUGAGCUUUAUUUUGUGCUGAAUUGAAUUAUUUGUGAAAUUAAGAAUUAUUCUUUAAUGGAAUAAUCUUUGGUUAUUAAUUGAAAAAUAACUGGGCAUCGGUUGACAGCGCCAAAAAUAUUUUGGUGGACUACAAAUAAUGGUGGGAUUUGUGGAAAUGAAAUUAUAAUAUUUUAGCUAAAGCCGACCGUGUACCCACACACGAAUAGUUUAUCGAGAAUCAUAAAAAUGGUGAUUUGAUUAAAUGAUUAUUUCAGCAUACUAUAAGAAUAUGACUGACAGCUUCUGGUGAGCAUAUAUAUAUUAUUUUCGGCAUACUAUAAAGGUAUGGCUGGCAACUUCUGGUGAGCAUAUAUAUUAUUUUCGACAUACUAUAAAGGUAUGGCUGGCAACUUCUAAUGAGCAUAUAUUAUGUUCGGUAUACUAUAAAAGUAUGGCUGGCAGCUUCUUGUGAGCAUAUUAUUAUAUCGGAUCAGUAGAUCUAGCAGCUUCUGGUGAGCAUCGGGGGUAUAUUAUAUCAGCCUGUGGGCGAUAUGUCAGCUUAGCGAGAGUAGUAUACCAGUAUACUAUAUCAGCCUACGGGCGAUAUGUCAGAUUAGCGAUGGCAGUAUACCUUAACCCUAUUAACUUUUUAGUGCGAGUUAUACUAUAUAUAUAUCAACUUAGAGUGAGCAGUCCUGAACUAUGGUCGGACUUAUAGAUAAUAUUAAAUGUGCUGACCACGCAUAGGUCAUGAUGACAUGUAAUCUACUAGGUCGAUUGAUUAUUGGUUCAUUCUAAUGUUGUGAAUUGAUUGAUUGAAUGGAAAUGACCGUGAGUGGUCUUGUUGGCAUGUAAUCGACUAGGUCAAUUUGAUUGAUGCUUCGAUCAGUGAUGUGAUUGCUUGGAUGUCUAUUUAAUAUGUGCUAAUAUGCAGGUGGAAUCUGAGGCCAAGGUAAGUCCUCCGACUCAUGUUGUGCAUAGGCAGCCCUAAGGUAUAUUAGUUUACUAAUCGGGUCUUAGGGGGUAGAACUUAUUGAGACAUGGUCUCAAUGGUUAUUAAAUAACCAUUUCAGGACCCUGAUGAGGAGCUUGCAGAGGAGGAAUCUGAAGAGGAGAACCCUAAUGUGGAACCAGAUGAGAAGGAAGAUUUUGGAGAAGAAGAUAACCAUGAGGAGGAUCCUGAGUAUGACCUGGAUGAAGACUGAGUUCCCAUCUUGUUUUGUCAGACCUUGAUUAUAUGUGGAUAAGGAUUAGAUCAGACCCCUGAGAAUAGUAUUACAUUAUAUACUAUGAGGUGCUUGUAUAAAAGAGUAGUUGUGAAUUUUAGUAUGAAAAAUAUGGCCCUG
rnacentral:lncRNA from 1 species